rnacentral:rRNA from 1 species
CCUACGGGUGGCAGCAGUGGGGAAUAUUGCGCAAUGGGGGCAACCCUGACGCAGCAACGCCGCGUGAUUGAAGAAGGCCUUCGGGUCGUAAAGAUCUUUAAUCGGGGACGAAUUUUGACGGUACCCGUAGAAUAAGCGCCGGCUAACUACGUGCCAGCAGCCGCGGUAAUACGGAGGGAGCAAGCGUUAUGCGGAUUUACUGGGUGUAAAGGGCGUGUAGGCGGGAAUGCAAGCCAGGAGUGAAAUCUGUGGGCUUAACCCCCAAACUGCUUUUGGAACUGCGUGUCUGGAGUGAUGGAGAGGAAAGCGGAAUUCCCAGUGUAGCAGUGAAAUGCGUAGAUAUUGGGAGGAACACCAGUGGCGAAGGCGACCUGCUGGACAUUAACUGACGCUGAGGAGCGAAAGCGUGGGGAGCAAACAGGAUUAGAUAGCCGAGUAGUC